GUAGAUAAACUAGAAAAUUUCCCCAGUUCGAAUCUGGUGAGAACUUUUUAGGUAAACUGAAUAGGUAAAUACAAUUUCAUUGAUUAAUUUUCAUUAAAAAUUUGAGUCAUUAUUUAAAUUGAAGGCGUAAACAAUAGAAAAUACUAAAUUUUCUUUCUUCGCUCAGUUGUUAUCAGUUAUUGAACUGUCUUGCAUAGUGUCUUUGAAAGCAUUAAAUAAAAUUGUGCUGUAUUUAUAACGCCCGUGUCUCGUGACCGACAAUAUGCUCACAUAUGAUUCACUGAUCACAAAGUUGGUUAUCACUUCUGUUAUGCUCCCGUUCCAUGAUAAUCUCUUGUUUUCAAAUAAGAAUCUUUUUUUUAACUUUAUAGUCAGAGAAAAUAAUUUUAGUUUUCGUUUUUUCUUAUUCGCAGACAGAUGUGAAAUUUUCCGACUGGUCAAAAAACCUUUAGAUAGAAAUAGCUUAGGAAAACGAGCUGCAUCGAAUAGAAUAUUAAGAAAUAAUACAUUUGCCUCCUGAUUUACCACAAUGGCUAUGAAUUCUAUUUACAACGUAUUUACGCAUCUUGGCAAUCUUUAUAAGGAAAUCAAUCCUGCUACUCUUAACGGUGCUAUCGAUGUUGUUAUGGUUCAACAACCCGAUGGAAAGAUUGUUUCUGGCCCUUUUCACGUUAGAUUUGGAAAAAUUGGAGUUUUAAGAGCUAAAGAGAAGGUUGUUGAUAUUGAAAUUAAUGGUAGAUUCGUUGAAGAUGUUCAUAUGAAAUUGGGAGAAGCCGGUGAAGCUUUCUUUGUUGAAGCGACUGAAUCGAAUGAUGUUCCUGAAUAUUUAGCAACGUCUCCCAUUCCUAACUCUCUACAGUUUAUGGAAGAAGGAUUAGAACAAUUGAAGUUGUCACUAUCGGAAAAUAUUAAUGAUCUUGACAAAGCAACUCAAACUGAUCUUACUGCUGGACAUGUUGAAUUAUUGUCGCCAAACAACCCUGACGCACCCUUGGAUAUUAAUUUUGAAAAGAACUAUGAACAACUAAGAAACACUCCCCCGAAGGAUGGUUGUCACCUUUCAUCCUCUACGCAAACAUUUGAAAAUGAGAUUUUACCACUAAAGGUAUCCAAUGAUUGGAAAAGAAUGAAGGCUAAAAGGGCAAAACGAUACGUAUCCAACUCUGACGAUGUCUUCAAGCUUGACCACGUCAGCGGUGAACUGUCUAUGUCUUACAGCUUACCUCAUUUGGAUAGUGAAAAGUGGUCAGCUGUUGAUCCAGAAAUUCACCCAUUUAGCGAUGGUGACAUUACCCCUCAAAUGUCACCAGAACCUUCAAGAUCUCCUUCUCCUAAAAGUGAUACAGAAUUUGAAGUAAGACAAAUCAGAGCUGAAACUGGGGCCCAAACUAAUUUAACCGGCGAUAAAUUUCAAGUUAUCAACGAAUUAUUUUGGGAAUGGGGUGAAUUACCCAAAAGCACGUCAACAACGCCAGUUGCAAUCGAUAAAAGUGAUGUUAAUAAACAACCAAAUUGGAACUUCACGAAGAAUGGUAAACAAAUAAAAGAAGAAGGAAUCUAUUUAUCAGAUUUAGAAGCAGACGAAGAAGUCGCUUCACAUUAUUUAUAUUCGACUACGAAUGUCUCAUCUCGUUCUCCCGCACUCAAUACAAAAGACGAUGACGUUGAAAGUGGCCAUGGAAGAUCAUUACCUCAAUCGCCUGUUGAACAGGUUAUUAAACCUGUAGUGAGAAGACCCGAAAUUUUUCCCACGGUUUCCCUAUCCCUUUGUGGUAAUGCUAGUGAGGCAUCAAAAGAAAAAUUUGCUGAACAUCUAGUUACAUUUGAACAAUUCUGUAAAAAUCCCGAAAUAACAACCCACCCAAGUUUAGUAGUCAAAAUUGGGGAAAAGUUUUAUAAUUGGGCUUGUGCGGCACCUAUUCUGUUAUGUUUAAAUACUUUUGAGGAAAAUUUACCCGAGAAUUGCGUGGAUAAUUUGGUUAAGAAUCAUAUGUCGAAGAGAAAAAAGGGAUGGUUCUGGGGGUUUGGAGGAAGAGAUCCAUCUUCAACUAGUCAAUCAGGUGUUAAGAAUAACAAAGACAAUAAAAUCAAAGAAAUACCAUCUAUUACCAAAGAAUCGCCAGAAGAUUCUAAAGAAGAAAUUAAUGUAGAACCCGAUAAAUUUGUGAAAAGUACACGAUUAACUCCUGAACAAAUUGCGAAAUUAGGACUCAAGGAAGGAGCUAACGAAAUAACUUAUACUGUUACAACCUCCCUACAAGGUACUACUCGACUAGUAUCGUAUAUUCACCUAUUCCGCUGGGAUGAUAGGCUAAUUAUAUCGGACAUUGACGGAACAAUAACAAAAUCUGACGUCUUUGGUCAAGUCUUACCGAUGCUCCCCUUUUUCAGACAUGAUUGGUCUCAAGCUGGUAUUGCUAAACUGUACCAGGAUAUUCAUAGAAAUGGAUACAAAUUUAUAUACCUAUCUGCUAGAGCUAUAGGACAAGCUCACACAACUCGACAAUAUUUGAAAUCUAUUAAACAAAUUGGCCAGCACGAACUACCAGAUGGACCUCUGCUGCUAUCCCCCUCUUCCCUAAUAAGCGCCUUCCAUAAAGAAGUUAUAGAACGUAAACCUGAAGAGUUUAAAAUUAGCUGCUUAAAAGAUAUCAGAGAUUUAUUCCAUGAUCGUAAUCCAUUUUAUGCUGGCUACGGAAAUAGAUCGAAUGAUGUUUGGGCUUAUCAAGCCGUUGGAGUACCCCUCUCUAGAAUAUUUACUGUCAAUCAUAGGGGAGAAUUGACUUUAGAAAAGACACCAGGCUUUUUGUCAAGCUACGAAAAGAUGAAUUCCAUAGUAGAUCAUUUAUUUCCUCCGCUUGUUGACGGAGAAAGACUGCCAAAAUUAAAUAAAGAAAGGCAUACGUCCGGUAAAAUUGAAAGUUGCAACUUUCCAGAAGCUGAAGAAUUUAGCAAUUUUACAUACUGGAGGGAACCAAUACAAGAUGUUGUUAUUGACUUGGAUGCGUAUAAAAAGACCGGAGUUUUACCUGAAUAGACGUAUUACCGAUUUGUAUUAUAUCUUAUAUCGAAAAAAAACAAAGAAAAAUGAAAAAAAACCCAACUUUACCAUUGAAGUCUAUGUAUUCAUAUGUCAAUUUAAUGAAUUUUUUAAAUAUUAUUAUUUUGAUUUGGACAAGUUAAAGAUGUUUUCAGCAGGCUCAAAUAAUCUUAAACUUGCCCUAAAUAUUUAAUAUUUUAAAUUGAGCUCAACCAAAAAUUCGUAUUGAUUGUGAGUCAUGAUACACUAUAUACAUAUGUAAACUU
rnacentral:misc_RNA from 1 species